UCUUCGGACUUAGUGGCGGACGGGUGAGUAACACGUGAGAAUCUGCCCUCAGGAUGGGGACAACGACUGGAAACGGUCGCUAAUACCCGAUGUGCCGAAAGGUGAAAGAGAUUCGCCUGAGGAUGAGCUCGCGUCUGAUUAGCUAGUUGGAGUGGUAACGGCACACCAAGGCGACGAUCAGUAGCUGGUCUGAGAGGAUGAUCAGCCACACUGGGACUGAGACACGGCCCAGACUCCUACGGGAGGCAGCAGUGGGGAAUUUUCCGCAAUGGGCGCAAGCCUGACGGAGCAAGACCGCGUGGGGGAAGAAGGUCUGUGGAUUGUAAACCCCUUUUGACAGGGAAGAAGUACUGACGGUACCUGUCGAAUCAGCCUCGGCUAACUCCGUGCCAGCAGCCGCGGUAAUACGGAGGAGGCAAGCGUUAUCCGGAAUUAUUGGGCGUAAAGCGUCCGUAGGUGGUUAUUCAAGUCAGUUGUUAAAGCGUGGGGCUUAACUCCAUAAAGGCAAUUGAAACUGAAUAGCUAGAGUGCGAUAGGGGCAAGGGGAAUUCCCAGUGUAGCGGUGAAAUGCGUAGAUAUUGGGAAGAACACCGGUGGCGAAAGCGCCUUGCUGGGUCUGCACUGACACUGAGGGACGAAAGCUAGGGGAGCGAAAGGGAUUAGAUACCCCUGUAGUCCUAGCCGUAAACGAUGGGUACUAGGCGUUGUCCGUAUCGACCCGGGCAGUGCCGUAGCUAACGCGUUAAGUACCCCGCCUGGGGAGUACGCUCGCAAGAGUGAAACUC
rnacentral:rRNA from 1 species